rnacentral:sRNA from 1 species
UAGCGCUGGAGAGUUAUAAAAAUUAUCC